rnacentral:rRNA from 1 species
UACGUAGGGGGCGAGCGUUGUCCGGAUUUAUUGGGCGUAAAGAGCGUGUAGGCGGCCAGGUAGGUCCGUUGUGAAAACUCGAGGCUCAACCUCGAGACGUCGAUGGAAACCAUCUGGCUAGAGUCCGGAAGAGGAGAGUGGAAUUCCUGGUGUAGCGGUGAAAUGCGCAGAUAUCAGGAAGAACACCUAUGGCGAAGGCAGCUCUCUGGGACGGUACUGACGCUGAGACGCGAAAAGCGUGGGGAGCGAACAGG